rnacentral:rRNA from 1 species
GACGAACGCUGGCGGCGUGCUUAACACAUGCAAGUCGAACGGAAAGGCCCUGCUUUUGUGGGGUGCUCGAGUGGCGAACGGGUGAGUAACACGUGAGUAACCUGCCCUUGGCUUUGGGAUAACUUCAGGAAACUGGGGCUAAUACCGGAUAGGAGCUCCUGCUGCAUGGUGGGGGUUGGAAAGUUUCGGCGGUUGGGGAUGGACUCGCGGCUUAUCAGCUUGUUGGUGGGGUAGUGGCUUACCAAGGCUUUGACGGGUGGCCGGCCUGAGAGGGUGACCGGCCACAUUGGGACUGAGAUACGGCCAAGAUCCCUACGGGAGGCAGCAGGGGGGAAUAUGGAACAAUGGGCGGAAGCCUGAGGCAGCAACGCCGCGGGCGGGAUGACGGCCUUCGGGUUGUAAACCGCUUUCGCCUGUGACGAAGCGUGAGUGACGGUAAUGGGUAAAGAAGCACCGGCUAACUACGUG